rnacentral:lncRNA from 1 species
GAGACGCGAAACCUUGGGACGUUCCGUGACUGAGUAGUUUUUGUAAUGGCUCACUAGGUAGCCAGUUCAUCAUGUGUGGUACUUAGAUAGAUCUUUGAAUCUAGAUUUUAUGAUGAUGUAAAGUCCUCAUUGAGGCAAUUUUCCCUAUGUUAUAUAUGGUGAUCUUAUUGGUUUUUCGCAGCAAGUCGUUCCGCUAUGUUUUAUUUAUAUGUUCGUUUAAGUUUUAACAAGAGCAGAACUCGAUGAGUUAAAGAGUAACUAUAGAAAUGAUAGUAUGUCCUUAUUGUUUUUUUUAAUGCGCUGACAACUUGUGUUUAACCCAAUAGAAUGCCGCCAAAACGAGGACGACCAAGAGGAGGGGGCAGGAUUCCCCGAAAUGAAAGAAGAGGCCCAGAAACAGGGCCAGAACCAGAACCCGAAAUAGUUCAACCACCUGUUCAGCCAGAACGACGGAUUGAAGAAUUAUUCUUGCGACAGAAC